AGUUACUGAUUUAUUAACAGUAUGGAUGUUAUUAAAGCAAUAAGGUGAGAGGAUGUAGUCUGACAACAGUUCAAGGUUGUUUGUUCCGAUGCAGCUGCACAACUCUUACGUUAUUGAAGAUAAAGUACCUUAUUUCUUUUGUAAAAGUUUACCAGCGACAUUAUAAAUAGUAAGUAAAUAGCUGUCUUUCAUCACAAAAUAGUUGUAGCCACCAAACCUUGUUAAUCUCAUUUCAGUAGUCUAGAAAUGUGUGGGGGGAUUUAGGGAAGGGUGCAUUAUUCAGCAUUAAUGUACUGUUCACCUUGACCUGAGUAUUUAAAUAAUGCACACCCAAUAUUAUAAUAAUUUAAAAAGAUGCAUGUCUUUAAUUCUACGGUUGAAGUUUUGAAGUAUAAUUGACAGUUUUCUUCACUGUUUCAAACUACUUGACACAGCAAAGGCCGCUAUGCAGGCCCGUGAGCUCAUGAGAAUGCUGAAGAACCAGGACUGACAACAUGCCACCGGAUUGUGGCGUACAGAAUUAAACCCAGGGACAGAUUAAGCAUUGGAACAACGUGGGGAGAACAGACACGCAACAACACCCAAAGUCCAUCACUAAUGCACUAAGGAUCAGGCUGAUAAGAGGGAUUUUGGACAAUUGGUUUCUAUCUGCACAAUGACUUCUGGUAAAGAUUCAUUGACCUUUUGCGGUAUGUUUUGAUUUUACUUAUUAAUACACUGCUUAGUUGGGAUUCAAAGUGUAAUGUUUGUGCUCAUAUAUUAUCAAAAUUAAAUGGAGCCACCUAGGGUCUGGAGAAUAUUAUGGAUAACUGUAUAAUACUGAAUUGGAAAAAUCCCCUCAGCUCAACAGCCUAAUGUGUUGCUUUCUCCACCUGUUUUUCAAUGGUGAGGUCAACAGUCAAGAUAGAGAAAUGCCAUUUUUAGUUUUUAAAUUCUUCCCAGAGGGCUCUAAAAAGCUGUAUGUAUGAAUAAUCAAUUGAUAUUUGAUAAUUGAAUUUAAAUUUUUAAAUCAAUAGUGGUUUAAUUGAAACAUUGGAAAUCUUCUAGAUGUAUCAAUUUAUCUUGUUAUUUUCACAGUAAAAAUGAAAAGCUUAUAUUUUUUUAAAGAAUGUGUGUUACAAGAAGGAUCUGUAAGAAUCCAGUGUUUGAUGCUAAAACUUUGUAAUAUCCCUUUUUUGAAGCUGUUUGAUCCUAAUAAAAUGGGAAGAAUGUGUAAAGUAACAUUUUUGGCCUCAAAUUGUUUUGUGUUAUCCCUUUAUUGAAAGUGUUUAAUUAUAUUAAUACAAGAGAAAACUGUAGAAUAAUAGUGUUUAACUGUACAACCUUUAGAGAAAUUAUGUUAUUAACAGUGUUUCACUGAAAUAAUAAAGGAAAGGUUUGUAGAAUAACAGUUUAACACUAGAACUUUUUGAGAUAUCAUUUAAUUGAAAGGGUUUCAUCAUUUUAAAAACAGGAAGAAUAUCUAAAAUAAACGUUUUUUUAACGCAUUGUUUUUAGCAAUAUCCCUUUAUUGAAGGUGUUUGAACGUAGUAAUACAUGAAUAAUAUGUAAAAUAAUAGUGUUUUACUGCAGAUUUUUGUGUGAUAUCACUUCAUUGAAGGUGUUUCAUCAUAAUAAAAAGGAAAAAUAUAUAAAAUAACAUUGUUUUUAUGCUGAAUUUUUGGCAAUUAUCUCUUUAUUGAAGGUGUUUGAUCAUACUAAUACAGGAAUAAUCUGUAAAAUAAGGUAUUUCAAUGCAUUGUUGUUCAGCAAUAUCCCUUUAAUGAAGGUGUUUGAACGUAGUAAUACAUGAAGAAUCUGUAAAAUAACAGUGUUUUACUGCAGAUUUUUGUGUGAUGUCACGUCAUUGAAGGUGUUUCAUCAUAAUAAAAAAGGAAAAAUACAUAAAAUAACAUUUAUUUGAUGCUGAAUUUUUAGCAAUUAUCACUUUAUUGAAGGUGUUUGAUCAUAAUAAUACAGGAAUAAGCUGUACAAUAAAGGUAUUUCCAUAUAUAAACUUAAAUGGAAAUAACCGUAAAUGUAUGGUUCUUGCAAUUUUUUUGAAUUACAGUAUUUUACCUUAGUUUUAGGUGUUUUGCAUGGCAGCCGUAGCUGCCAGUCAUUUACCUUCUUUUUACGUUUUUUUUUUUUACA